rnacentral:rRNA from 1 species
UACGAAGGGUGCAAGCGUUAAUCGGAAUUACUGGGCGUAAAGCGCGCGUAGGUGGCUUGAUAAGUUGGAUGUGAAAUCCCCGGGCUCAACCUGGGAACUGCAUCCAAAACUGUCUGGCUAGAGUGUGGUAGAGGGUAGUGGAAUUUCCAGUGUAGAGGUGAAAUUCGUAGAUAUUGGGAAGAACACCGGUGGCGAAGGCGGCUCUCUGGACCGUAACUGACGCUGAGGCGCGAAAGCGUGGGGAGCAAACAGG